CCAAUCGGACCCUCCGGGAGGCAGCAGUGGGGAAUAUUGCACAAUGGGCGCAAGCCUGAUGCAGCCAUGCCAGCGUGUAUGAAGAAGGCUUCGGGUUGUAAAGUACUUUCAGCGGGGAGGAAGGUGUUGUGGUUAAUAACCUCAGUUAUUACGUUACUGCAGGAGAAGCACG
rnacentral:rRNA from 1 species